AUUGAACGCUGGCGGCAGGCCUAACACAUGCAAGUCGAGCGGAUGAAGGGAGCUUGCUCCUGGAUUCAGCGGCGGACGGGUGAGUAAUGCCUAGGAAUCUGCCUGGUAGUGGGGGAUAACGUCCGGAAACGGGCGCUAAUACCGCAUACGUCCUGAGGGAGAAAGUGGGGGAUCUUCGGACCUCACGCUAUCAGAUGAGCCUAGGUCGGAUUAGCUAGUUGGUGGGGUAAAGGCUUACCAAGGCGACGAUCCGUAACUAGUCUGAGAGGAUGAUCAGUCACACUGGAACUGAGACACGGUCCAGACUCCUACGGGAGGCAGCAGUGGGGAAUAUUGGACAAUGGGCGAAAGCCUGAUCCAGCCAUGCCGCGUGUGUGAAGAAGGUCUUCGGAUUGUAAAGCACUUUAAGUUGGGAGGAAGGGCAGUAAGUUAAUACCUUGCUGUUUUGACGUUACCAACAGAAUAAGCACCGGCUAACUUCGUG
rnacentral:rRNA from 1 species